rnacentral:rRNA from 1 species
GAUGAACGCUAGCUAUAGGCUUAACACAUGCAAGUCGAGGGGAAACGGCAUUAUGUGCUUGCACAUUUUGGACGUCGACCGGCGCACGGGUGAGUAUCGCGUAUCCAACCUGCCCUUUACUUGGGGACACCCCGUUGAAAGACGGCCUAAUACCCGAUGUAAUUCAUUGAUGGCAUCAGAUAUGAAUAAAAGAUUUAUCGGUAAAGGAUGGGGAUGCGUCUGAUUAGCUUGUUGGUGAGGUAACGGCUCACCAAGGCGACGAUCAGUAGGGGUUCUGAGAGGAAGGUCCCCCACAUUGGAACUGAGACACGGUCCAAACUCCUACGGGAGGCAGCAGUGAGGAAUAUUGGUCAAUGGGCGCAAGCCUGAACCAGCCAAGUAGCGUGCAGGAAGACGGCCCUAUGGGUUGUAAACUGCUUUUAUACGAGAAUAAUUUGAUGCACGUGUGCGUUAUUGCAUGUAUCGUAUGAAUAAGGACCGGCUAAUUCCGUG